UACGAAGGGGGCUAGCGUUGUUCGGAAUUACUGGGCGUAAAGGGCGCGUAGGCGGCCUUCUAAGUCGAACGUGAAAUCCCCGGGCUCAACCCGGGAACUGCGUCCGAGACUGAAAGGCUCGAAUCCGGGAGAGGGAUGUGGAAUUCCUGGUGUAGCAGUGAAAUGCGUAGAUAUCAGGAGGAAUACCGAUGGCGAAGGCAGGUCUCUGGGCUAUAACUGACGCUCAUGCACGAAAGCGUGGGGAGCAAACAGG
rnacentral:rRNA from 1 species